UCGUGCUAGACGGGGAGCUAGCGGUGCCCUGAACCCGCAAUCCGCCUUAGCGGGGUCGAACUCCCCCAUUGAGGGCUGGCGCAUCCGAGACUACCGGUGCAAAGCGGCGCUGAAGGCUGGGUCCUGCGCGGCGGGAGCCGUCGAACCUGGUCAGAUCCGAGAGGAAGCAGCCAUAAGGCGUUCCUCCCGGGUGCCGCAGGAGUGCUUGGCCGGAGUUGGCUGGCAAAGGCAAGUCGGAUGGCGCGGUUCGAUUUGGGGGGCACGA
rnacentral:SRP_RNA from 1 species